CAAUCAAAAUGAAAUGAAUAGUUUUGUAGGAAUUUAAUUCAGCACCGCACAUGUUUUUACCCUGAGGUAAGCAGCUGACAUGUCAACAUUUUCACUGUGGAGCUUUCAUUCAGGUGUCACUGACUGUUAAGCGUGUGGUUUGUGAUGGUGGUGGGGGUUCACUCUUCACUCCUGUGAUCAGAUAAAACCCCGAUAAUCGAACUGCACGUCCUCUGAUUGGCUUUUCUUCAGCUCUGAACGAGGGGCCCUUUUUGUGGACUGGAAAUCAAAAAUGUGUGCGUUUUUAAAUUGGAGUUUUGAAUGAGAAUUUUCUGCUCCCUCUGACUCCUUUGCUUACAAUUUUUUUGUUUUUAUUUUCGUCCCCCUUUUUUAGCCAUAAUCUGACAGGAAGUUAUGGUAAUGAAGGGUGAAUUUAUCUCCCCACAAAGAGCACAACACUCCACCCAGACAGCAGAGGAAACCACCACCGAAGAAGACGACGACACACUGAGGAUUAAUCUGCAGGAGUUCAUCUGAAACCCGAGCAGGUUGCUGUUAAUUCAGUGAGGAGGAGGGAGGCUGUCUGCUGCAGUGAAGAGCCGAGGCCGAGGCCGAUCCCCCCCGGGUGCCAUUUGUCAGCCGACCGCGACGGCCCGGCUUGAUUACAAUUUGCAAAGAAAUUCAUUAGAGUCACGCGCAGCCUCCGUCGCCGUUCACGCUGCAGGUUCAAGACCCCGGAUGCGGAUUUUGUCCCCUCACAUCAGAUUUUUAUUGGCUGAAAUAAAAACAAGACUUACAUUAAAUGUGAAAAACCGAAACUGUGCAUUUGUGAGUCCGUCAGUUCGACUCAGUGCGACCAGUCCAGUCCUGAGACCAGCAGCAUCAGGGUUCAGCAGGACGACCAAAGUCCCGACACAACGAGGUCCACGUCCUCCCAGAGACCAGCAGCAUCAGGGUUCAGCAGGACGACCAAAGUCCCGACACAACGAGGUCCGCGUCCUCCCAGAGACCAGCAGCAUCAGGGUUCAGCAGGACGACCAAAGUCCCGACACAACGAGGUCCACGUCCUCCCAGAGACCAGCAGCAUCAGGGUUCAGCAGGACGACCAAAGUCCCGACACAACGAGGUCCGCGUCCUCCCAGAGACCAGCAGCAUCAGGGUUCAGCAGGACGACCAAAGUCCCGACACAACGAGGUCCGCGUCCUCCCAGAGACCAGCUGCUCGCAGGCUGAGCGCUGAACUCAUUUCAGGCUGUAAAAGUUUCAGCUUUUCAAAGUAAAACACGAGAUUUUCUGCUUUAUUUUGUCCUUCUCUACAACAGGCUGAUCAUUUCUAUUAUCACUUGUUUUUUCUAAAUUAAUCAAUUCAUUUUUUUCAUCCCAAACUUGUCAGAAAACAGCAUAAAAUCUGCCCGAAGUGACGUCUUCAAUCAGCUCCAACUCCAAAAUGAAAUUAAAGAGAAAAGCGGGAAGAGGCUUUCACAGCUUCCUAAUUGAUUCAAAUGAUUAAUCAAUUUUCAGUAAUGUUGCUGAUUAAUUUUCUGCCAAUCGACUGGUUGAGUCGAAGGGGGCAGAAUUGCCUUUUAAUGAUUUAUUUGAGUCUAAAAUGAAGUUGAAUUCGAUUCUGGGCCCUGACAACCCGCCGCCAUGACGACACAGAGCACUGCGUCAUGACGUGCAGGUACGUCGUAGGCGGAAGCUCGUGCAAACGGACAAAUCAGACGGACCAACGUGAAGGUUCUUCCAUGUGUGAAUUCGGUCUGAAAUCUGAGCUCAGAUCAGUCAUGAAGGACGUGACGGCCUGAACGUUUUGGUUUUGUUCGCUGGUCUCUUCAGGUCAAACUUCCUCCAGGCUCCACCUGGCUGACGACACUUCCUGUUACCGGACACACCGCAGUACAGCUGUUAGCCCGGUGACCGGAAGGAGUGACACGUCAGCUGAGCACACCUGGAGACAACCACGAGCUGGACAAUCCGGGAAGCUGCUCUUGAUGAUGAACGACUGGUAUCUUCAGCACCCAGAAACCUUGCGUUGAAGUGAGGACUCAGUGGAGCCCCGUGACACAGUGCGGUGCUGCCCCCUGGCGGCCGCAGCAGUCUGUGCUCACAGGACAGAAAGUUCACUCUGACUGGCUGUUUCUUGCAGUGCUCUUUGGGACUUGUAGUUCACCUGAAGCUCCAUCACUGUGAUGAUGGCGUCUCCGUCAGCGUCUUCCUGCCUCCUUCAGUUCAGACUUCAUUGAAAGCUUUCAUGAGCAUUUAUGUUUUCCUGCAAACAGUCUCCAGGUUAUGUUUGCCUUUCCAUGAGUUUGUAAAGUCUUAUUUUCAUUUAAAAGAAAAAAACACAGACAGAAAUCAGUCCAUUCAUUGUUCCUGCUGUGGUAAAUGGUUGUCUGGACUCCUUUGUGCAGCGUUUGAAUCCCGUCCGUUCUUGAAGCGUCAGCCCCCAGCUGAAGUUGUGGGAUGGAAAAACUUGCACAGCUGAAACUUUCCUGAGAUGUGCUGAAAUGACUUUAAAAGAACUGCAGUGAAGAACAGCACAGUGUUUCUGCAGCCCACUGGAGGACCAAAUGCACACUGAAAGCAGGAACAAAAUGUAUUCUUGUGAAUAACAACACUGAAUGGGCAGAUUGUGUCCAUUUCCAGUUUUGUUUGAUAGAACCAGACCAGACUCAGUAAAACAGAAGUUGCGUUUUAAAGCUAACUAAAGCGACUUUCUCAACUUUCUCAUUAUUUAGCUGUCCAAGAUUGGUGUGUAUCCUAACUUAACAUGCUCACAUCAACACACAGGAUGUCAGUUUGGUCCUUCAAUAACUCUGUUGCUUCUGAAGGCUGCUGCAGAAAGCAAAGACUCAGGAGCUUCUGGAAACAAAGUCCAGAGAGCUGAUGAAGUUUGCUCACACUUUUACAGCAGAAUUGAACAUUUUGAGGUUGUGGAUUCAAACCCUGACUUAUUUGGUCAGCUCUUGCACUACCAUCCCAAACCAAAGAAAGAGUGAAAAGCUCGGGACGAUACAGGAGGGUUUUGGAUUGUGAGAAAGCUGUGAGAAAUAACAAACAUAUUUUGCUGAAAUGAUGCAGUUGGACUCUUUUGUAAACGACUCCAGUGUAAAUAAUCAAAAGGAAUUAAGUUGUCAGUGGAAAGUCAAGCAGUCAGUGCACACAUGUGUAAGAGUACUCUGAUCCUACCAGGUAUAACAGUGUAUAUAGGAAUACUAUGUAGUAUAAUUGUGUAGUUUGAGUUGUCUGUCUUGAUGUA